rfam:Apaloderma vittatum contig57928, whole genome shotgun sequence.
GGCCAGUUAGCUCAGUCAGUUGAGUGUGGGGCUAACAAUGCCAAGGUGGCGGGUUCAAUUCCCGUUCGGUCCC